rnacentral:rRNA from 1 species
UACGGAGGGGACUAGCGUUGUUCGGAAUUACUGGGCGUACAGCGCACGUAGGCGGAUUUGUAAGUCAGGGGUGAAAUCCCGGGGCUCAACCUCGGAACUGCCUUUGAUACUGCGAAUCUCGAGUCCGGAAGAGGUGAGUGGAAUUCCUAGUGUAGAGGUGAAAUUCGUAGAUAUUAGGAAGAACACCAGUGGCGAAGGCGGCUCACUGGUCCGGUACUGACGCUGAGGUGCGAAAGCGUGGGGAGCAAACAGG